rnacentral:rRNA from 1 species
UACAGAGGAGCCAAGCGUUGUCCGGAUUGACUGGGCGUAAAGCGCACGCAGGCGGUUGCGCGCGUGGGGUGUGAAAUCUGGCCGCUUAACGGCCAGGCGCCAUCCCAUACGGCGCGACUGGAGUGAUGCAGAGGUCGAUGGAAUUGCCGGUGUAGUGGUGAAAUGCGUAGAUAUCGGAAGGAACACCUGUGGCGAAAGCGGCUCACUGGACCAUAACUGACGCUGAGGCACGAAAGCUAGGGGAGCAAACAGG